rnacentral:rRNA from 1 species
GACAGAGGUGCCGAGCGUUAGGCGGAAUCACUGGGCUUAAAGCGUGUGUAGGCGGACGUCUAAGUGCCUUGUGAAAUCCCCCGGCUCAACCGGGGAACCGCUGGGCAUACUGGGCGUCUUGAGUGGUCUAGGGGCAACUGGAACAAACGGUGGAGCGGUGAAAUGCGUAGAUAUCGUUUGGAACGCCAAUGGUGAAAACAGGUUGCUGGGAGUGUGCUGACGCUGAGACACGAAAGCCAGGGGAGCGAACGGG